CAGUAGUUUGUUAGGGAGGGGCAGUUCCACCAUACAUGGAGCAUUGUGCCUUUGUGUUGUUGGCAUCUCCAACAGAGAUCGGAGGCUUGUGGGUAUGUUGCUUUUAUACGUGUAGGCACUAAGUACCACCAAUAUAGGAUUUUUCGGGAUAGUUCCAUGUGGGAGGCGCAUUUGGAGAGUGAGUUAUGUGCAAGUAGAAUUUUAUUCCAUUGCCGCGCAUCGAGAGUAUAUGUGAAUUCCUUCUCCCAUGCUGCAAUGAACGAUAGUUUUGUGUGCACACACAGUAUAUUAUAAACGGUCCAUGAC